rnacentral:rRNA from 1 species
CCUACGGGAGGCAGCAGUGGGGAAUAUUGGACAAUGGGGGGAACCCUGAUCCAGCCAUGCCGCGUGUGUGAAGAAGGCCCUCGGGUUGUAAAGCACUUUCAGUGAGGAAGAACGCCUGGUGGUUAAUACCCAUCAGGAAAGACAUCACUCACAGAAGAAGCACCGGCUAACUCCGUGCCAGCAGCCGCGGUAAUACGGAGGGUGCGAGCGUUAAUCGGAAUUACUGGGCGUAAAGCGCGCGUAGGUGGCUUGAUAAGCCGGUUGUGAAAGCCCCGGGCUCAACCUGGGAACGGCAUCCGGAACUGUCAGGCUAGAGUGCAGGAGAGGAAGGUAGAAUUCCCGGUGUAGCGGUGAAAUGCGUAGAGAUCGGGAGGAAUACCAGUGGCGAAGGCGGCCUUCUGGACUGACACUGACACUGAGGUGCGAAAGCGUGGGUAGCAAACAGGAUUAGAUACCCGAGUAGUC